GCAGCAACAGGGAGGGAAAGUCAGCUCGCAGUCAGGCACCUCGCUUCGCGCCUUCCCCCAGCCCACGCGGGCGGCCGCGCAGAGUGAGCGGCGGGCGUGGGCGCGGCGCGCCAGCGCCCUGAUCUGGCUCCAAGCAGCUGCACGCGGAGCUCGGCGGCCGCCUCCCUGCAGCGAGCAGUCCAGCCCGGAGGCCGCUCGGGAGCCAGGGCCCCGCCGGGAUGCGAGGAGCUGGGAGAGGCGCUCCAGUCCCCGCACUCCCGACCCCGCGCCCGCCCCUCCGCAGACCCUCAGCGCAGUCCUCGCGGCCAGGGUGCAGGGGCCCGCGCCAGACCGCCUCUUCAGCACUGAGACUGACCCGGACCUUAGGCUACACCCAUAUAUGUUCAGGUUUUAUCUGUGAUGCUGUGCUGAGGAAUCACUUCUGGUGGUGUUCAGGGAUAUGUGAUGAUGGGAUCGAAUCCAGGCCAACCAUGUGCGAGCUGAAGACAAGCAGCAUGCUUCUCAUCCCACUGCAGCAAGCACACUUCAGUGGCCCACCCUCCUCAGAGAAUGUCAAAGACAUGAAAGAAGAGAAAAGAGAAGGGAAAUCAAUUUGUUUUUUUUAAUCCGGGCAGGUCAAAAUUAAUUAUUGGAAGACAUGGUAAUAAAGGUUUGUUUUCAGAAUCAAUACCGGGGAGAUGGAGGAGCUUUCCUCUGAAAUAGUUUUUCCUGUUUCCUUUCUAAACCAUGUCAAUGUUUUCUGAAAGACAAUACUUUAUUCUUAUCAUUUGCAAGCUAACCUCACUGUGACAAAAAUACGUUGCUUAAUUAUGAAACUCUAGUAAUUACACACUGAGUACCCCUCUAGUGAAGGCCACUGACUCGAAUCCUGUUGGAAGCAAGUUCUUACUCUCUGUCCAUACCCCUUCAUUCCAUAUCUCCCUGGGACCCAUGGCAGGCUCAGAUCCAGUCCAGUUACAGAAAUAAGAUGAAAUCAUAUAUAUCACCAACGUAUCACUUGUCUUCCUUAAUUUUGUAUCAUCAAAUUGGAUAACCAUAUGCUUUUUCUUGUGUUAUGCAUGUCAGUAAUGGUAGCUAAUUUACCUCCAUCCCCCUUGAAAUUGGGAUCAUCUCAAAGACUAGGCCUACUCUUUUCCAGCAUAAUGAAGCAGACCAAGUUGAGUUUUGAGAAAUAACAGCAUGGUACUUUAUAACCUAGUCUGGAAAGGAAUAAGAAUGUCAUGUACUCUAUCUCUAAUGGACAUCACAGCUACCACAAAGACCAAGUCACCCAGCACCUUCUAGGAGCUAAACUCUCCACUGGGGGCAUUCCAUAUGUGAUUUCUAACAUUACCUUUGUUUUAGAAAGGACACUGACUCAGGAAAAUUAUGUGAUUUUUCAUAAGGUUCAAGCCAAAACAAGGAAAAGAACAGAGACUUAAAUGCCAUGUUUUGCUUCUCAAUAUACAUAAAACAAGAAGAAGGGGUGUCUCAAAUUGUAUAGGGAAGGUAAUAGCAAGAGAGAUGGAUUUGGAAAAGUAGAAUGUUUAGUUAAGGAUAGCUUGACCUGAGCUAAAAGUGAAAAAUUAAACAAUCUCCUGGGCUAGGCCAAAUGUAGCCUGUCUUUUGUGCUAGGAAAUAAAAAUGAAGAAGCAGGCCAGAUACUGGCCAGACUAACUGUUCAACUGGCCACGCUCCAGCAUGCAGCAGAGAAGCUGCCAACAACUGAUACACUUACUUCCUACAAGCAGUGAACAGGCAGAGGAAGGUUAAGGCAGUUACAGGUCUCCCACAGACCUGGGACCAUAAAGACUUUGGGAAUCAAAAAGUACCAGAGAAUAGUGCUUCUCAACCCAUUUCCAACUGUGGUAGCUCCCUUCUGACUCAUUUCUUUCCAAUGGUUCCAUCUUACCUGUUGACCCUCUAGUCUAUGCUGUGGCUUCCAUUUACAGGGUUUCUACCUGGGGCACACUUGUAAGAUCCUAGGGGCACAGUAGUGGGGAUGUGUGUGAUACAGUCCCAGUUGAGAAAUGUUAAACCAUUAUUAAUAGUAGAGUAAAACAAAAAAUCUUAAUCAAUUAAAACUUUUUUUUAAUGCUGCCAUAAAGAAUAAUGAAGAUGGUCCUGGAAUCCAAGGGAAAUCUUAGAUACAAGGAGAAAAAAGUCGUACAUCAACAAUUCAGCCAUCACAGUGCUGGCAUGUAGCUAUUUAAGGGAUUAUCUAGAUCUACACGUUGAAAGGAAACUAGAAACCGUGCUCUGGGCUGGAGCUGAGGACUCAAGGGGCCUGAUCCCAGAGCACCUAAAGUUUAAGUGAAUCAGAGAUUCCAUGGUGAAGUGGUUGAGAACCUGAACUCUAGAGCUUGAACCCCGUGACACCACUUACUGACAACUAGGCUACUGAACCUCUUUACUGCAGGCUUCCCAUUUUAUAUAAAGAAAAUUAUUGAAUCAACAUGAAUUGCAAAGUUACAAUGUUAUUCAUUGUUGAGUUUCAGGUGUACUCUGUUCCAACACCAAUCCCUUCACCAGUGGCCACCUGUCCACUUCUCUCUACAAAUGGUCCCAGUUUCCCUCCGGUCCCCAGCCUGCCUGUCCCAUGGCAGAGAUUUCUUUUCUCUUUACCCCCCAGCUUUUAGGAACUAUGGUUUAAAAUACUAUUAACUUAUACAGUAUUAUGCAUACCACUUUACCUCCUUUCAGCACCUAGCUCUGGUCCAGAGUGACCACUUCCCUCUCUAAUUGUCAUAGCAGUCCCUUCCUUGCCCUGUUGCUCUUCCCCAGCCAGUGGCAAACUUCUAAGUAAGGACAAGUUAUCCUGCUCCUUGGGGCUUCAGUAAUUUGCUCAUCAUGAUACUUUCCAAAUCCAUGGAUAAGCAAACUGCAUGACUUCAUUUUUCCUCAUGCUAGAGUACUAUCCCACUGCAUAUAUGUACAUAGCUUCUUUAUCCAGUCAUCUGUUCUUGGGCACUUGGGUUGUUUCCAGAUUUUGUGAAUAGUACUGCAAUGAACAUAGGAGUACAGAUACAUUUUCUGCACUGUGUUUGUGGAUCCUUAGUAUAUUCUCAGAAGUCGAAUUUCUGAGUCAUAUGGUAACUUGAUUCCUAGUUUUUUGAGGAAUGUACAUCUCACCUUCCAAAACACUUGAGUCAGUUGACAUUCCUACCAGAAGUGAAUGAGGGUCCUUUUCCCCCCACCUCAAUGUCAACAUGGUUGAUGUAGUUUUUAUUUAUUUUUUGGUGAGUGCCAGUCUCUGUGAUGUGAGGUGGUAUUUCACUGUCCUUUUGAUUUGUAUUUCCCUGAUGAUUAGUAAUAGGGGCUGGAGUGAUAGCACAGCAGUUGGGUGUUUGCCUUUCAAGUUUGAUUCCUCUGCCCCUCUCGGAGAGCCCGGCAAGCUACCAAGAAUAUUGAGCCCGAAAGGCAGAGCCUGGCAAGCUACCCAUGCGUAUUGGAUAUGCCAAAAACAGUAACAAUAAUUCUCUCAAUGAGAGACGUUACUGGUGCCUGCUUGAACAAAUCGAUGAACAACGGGAUGGCAGUGACAGUGAUUAGUAAUAGAAUGUAUCUUUCCAUAUGCCUUUUAACCAAUUGCAUUUCCUCAUUGAGGGAAUUUCUGUUCAUUUCUUCCCCUCAUUUUUUGACAGGGGUGUAUUUUUUUCUUGUAAAGUUCUAAUAGUGCUUUACAUACCUUGGCUACUAACCCUUUGUCAUAUGAGUGGUGGGCAGAUAAUUUCUCUUGUUCAUUGUAUUCUGGUUAUCAUUUCCUAAUUGGUGCAGAAGUUUCUUAAUUUAAUGCAGUCCCAUUUGUUUGUCUUUGCUUUCACUUGCCUGGUCAUUAGUGUUGUUUCAUC